UCGCUCCUACCGAUUGAAUGAUCCGGUAAAGUCUCUGGACCGUGAUGCUUUGUGGGGUUAAACCCCUUUGUAUCGUGGGAAGUUGAUUAAACCUUAUCAUUUAGAGGAAGGAG
rnacentral:rRNA from 1 species